UCACUCCUUGAGAGUGGGCCCCAGCGUCAACCUCCUUUCUUGAGAGUUCCCUGGCGUUGUUGCCCGCCCUUUUUUCCCCCGAGACAUCAACUCCCCCCCCCCCCCAGAGGGACCCCUGAGAUGUUCCCUCCUCCUGAGUAGGACCCCGGCGUCCUCUCUCCUUCUGGAGCUGAACCCUAGCCUCGUCCCUUCUCCAUGAGAGGGACACCAGCGCCAUUCAUGCUCCCUCGGGUGGGCCCCGGCUUCAUCAGCCCUUCCUGAGGGGACCCGGUUGUCAGUCCCCUUCCCGGAGGGGUCCCAGUGUAUGUGCGUGUGUGGAGGGGGGACACCAGCUGACACAGGAACUCGCCGUGUCGCCUGAGAAAUUGGUUAAGGAAUUGGGGCUCUUUCUCCUAAAAUGGGAGCCGCGCGAAAGCUCUACAUCUGCCUUAAAACAUCUUUCAAGUGCUUCCCAGGGUCCCUGUCAUGGUCAGCAGGUCCUUGUGGAGUGGUUGGGCAUGUGUAGGACUGUCCCCUGGAAGAGGGGUUGCUGUGACCCAUGACGUCUCAAGAGAUCUGAUGGUAGGGGCUAGAGGGAGGUCAGGUCGUAGGGGCUUCCCUGUCUGUGUUGAACUGAAAUCCUAAAAGAAAUCCUAAAAGGCUGAGCACAGAGCGGGCGAAAUCCGCAGCUGGGAAGACCUGGCCAGUUGCGUUCGAUCCCACAAAGAGUCAUCCUCCCGCCACUGUGAUGGCGAAUUGUCUCGUCCAUGUUCAAAUCCAUGUGAGUUUCCUGUUGCGGCCAGUGCGUCAAACGCUCUCCUUGUCUGGCAACAGUUCCUCUUUCUGCCUGGAAGCCCACAAGAGGGUGCUGCAUUCCUUUUAGACCACCUCCUGCAUCGGCCCAGAGUUAGGGGCAGCUACAAAACCCUCACAAAAUAAGGCGAUGGGUUGGUGGAAGCACUGAUGUUUCGCAGGUUACAAGAGCCAGAGAGGAAUUCUAAGUAGCACAGCUAAAGUGGUCUGAG